AACAGGAGGGAGUCUACAUCAGUCUGCCAGGAGAGCAGCUCAAUGGGAAGGAGCUUUAUCCAGACCAGAUUAAAGGCAGAGAGCUUCCAGAAGAGAAUGAUGGAGAAGAAUCCAUCAGGUUACAAGAUCACGGAGAUUCUUCUAUUUCAAAGGCUGAAGACACUGAGGAGAAUGAAGAUGACAGUGAUGUAGAACACCCUCUCUCUGAGCUGAAACACUUGUCAGAUUCUGAAUAUAAGAAAUGUUCUACAAAGAAGAAAAAUGUGGACUCACGAAGGAAAGUCCAGACAGGAGGGAAGCUUAGCUGUGAAGACUGUGGCAAAACAUUUAUU